UAAUUAAGCGGAGGAAAAGAAACUAACUAGGAUUCCCUCAGUAACGGCGAGUGAAGCGGGACUAGCUCAGGAUGUGAAUCUGCGCUUUAUUGGCGCCGAAUUGUGGUCUGUAGACUUUGACGUUAUCUGCCGGGCCAAGUUCCUUGGAAAAGGACAGCUGAGAGGGUGAGACUCCCGUCCGCCUGGUUGAGUGAGUCAUUUGUCAACGAGUCGAGUUGUUUGGGAUUGCAGCUCUAAUUUGGUGGUAAAUUCCAUCUAAAGCUAAAUAUUGGUGGGAGACCGAUAGCGUACAAGUACCGUGAGGGAAAGAUGCAAAGAACUUUGAAAAGAGAGUUAAAGAGUACCUGAAACUGCUGAAACGGAAGCGAAGGAAACCAGUGUUUGUUUGUUCAUAUUUCCCUGGCCACUUGUGGUUUGGGCGCUGUGAGCUUGCGUGAGUUUGGGUUGGUUGAUCCCUUUGGAAGAGCGCAGUCAGAGUUGAUGUCUGUUGCUAGCACUGGGUUUGACUGAUGCAGACGAAAUGGUUUUCUUUACCCCGUCUUGAAACACGGACCAAGGAGUCUAACAUAUGUGCGAGUACAGGGGUGUCAAACCCCGGUGCGUAAUGAAAGUGACAGUGGUUGGAAUUUUGCACAAUCCGCCGGCCUCAAUCCUUCGGGAGAACGGUCUGAGUGUGAGCAUACAUGUUGGGACCCGAAAGAUGGUGAACUAUGCCUGAAUAGGGUGAAGCCAGGGGAAACUCUGGUGGAGGCUCGUAGCGAUUCUGACGUGCAAAUCGAUCGUCAAAUUUGGGUAUAGGGGCGAAAGACUAAUCGAACCAUC
rnacentral:rRNA from 1 species